UGAACGUCUGAUUGGUCAGUGUGCCGGAACUCCUGAUUGGUCAGAGAGCGCGUUAUGGGUAUGAUACUGUAUAUUAUGUAAGGGACGGGAUAAUGCAUAUAACGCCGGAUAAUGACCGGCGUUCUAUUCGUAUCCCGCUUAUUACACGGCUUAAUGCCAAAACAAAAAAAUAACUUCACACACUGUGUCUUUUUAUAAUUUAUUUGUUACCAUUCGUAGUGUUGAUGAGCAGAUACAUUUUAAUAACAUUGAUAACAUUGCUACUUUAUUCCGGUCACCAAUUUAUACAUUGCAUGGUCUUGCUGUGCGUGCAAUACAAUGUAAAGUUGUGUUGUUUGUUUUCGGGCUGGUUUGCUAAAGAGGCUAAUGUAGCUAAACAACGACUGGCCGAUUUCGGAACGCUGGCGUCCGGGGAUUCAGGAACACACGUGACCAGAGAACACACCCACUCAACAAAAGAAAAAGGCGGUAACUGUUAAAAGAUUUGACCCAGGAGCGCCAAGCAGCGCUUUCACCGGAGCGGAGAAGGAGAAGGAAUCAGCAGGUGCUAGCAAGACAGGUGGAGGAACAGGGCCACAGGAAAAGAAAGUUAUGCAGCCAGCAGGUACUAGCAGGACAGAUGAAGCAACAGGUCCACAGGGCCGUGUUCUGUGGGCGUAGAGCCUGGUAACCAUGGGGAUGAACCCAGACCUGCGGAGGUUCCAGAUGAUGAUCCGGGUCCCGGUGCUGGAGCAGGAUGACUCGAUAGCUCGGAGCUCAGUGAGCAGCUCUUCCUCAGUGUUGAAGGGUGAGUGGUCCAGUAUGUCCCUCAGACUCGCCUGGUGCUCCUCCAUCACACUGAGUAGUCACUCGGGUCAAGGAAGUUCUUACAAGGCUUUACUGAUCGAUAGUUCUAUCUAUCCAUCUGUCCAUCUAUCUAUAUAAAUAAAGUCAGUGCAGGGUAAGGUUUAGCUACUUCACUAGCUCUAUCUAUAUUGGUGCACAACGUUAUUAUAUAUGCAGGAAAAAAAAAAAUAUAUAUAUAUUUUGUGAUAUUAUGCCACCAGGUUUCAGUAUGUUUAGCCAUUACAAGCAGUUAAAAAAAAAUCAGCCUUUCCUGUCCUUUAGUGGGAGUGACCACCUAGAUGUAUGAUGGAUAAGCAACAUUUUCUACAGUCUACUGGGUAGGCAGGUAGACUGAUCUUUCCAGCUUAUGUCUAGGUGGAAACUCACACUUGUGAUUGCAUAAUAUCACCCAUUUAAACCCCCCAAAAAACAAUCUAAAAUAAAAAAAAAGAAUAUCCCCUUAAAAAGGCCCUAGCCAAAGAACCAAAUGUGGCUUUAUUAACAUAUCCACCGUCAUUUACCUCAUGAUAACUGAUCAAAAAGACACUACAGCAAUGACAAGGAACACAGUGUCAACCCAUUCGACAUGCUCAAAAGGAUAUAGUGUUUUGCUUCAGGUUUCUUAAUGCUUAUGAUGGGCACAGUGAUCUGCUUGGCUCCAAUCUUCUUCAGGUAAGUCUGUGACAGCAUGCCAACACACAGGUCAUUCUUUGAUUUGGAUAAAACGAUGGCAUCCUGGCCCAGACGCAUUGAGCCAGACUUGAAACCAUUGCCAUACAUUCCAAUGGGAUGUUUGCCGUUGACAGCUUUUUUGUCGCUGUAUCCAAAGCUAUAAGGGAACAUAUGUUCAUGCAUUAAUCACUAAACUCAUGACACGGUAAUGAAUAAACUGAAAUCCCUGAUUUUGUGAUUCUAAAUAAUCAUUGUGGGAGUGUGUGGAUGAUGUCUUUAAAGUGGACCUAUUAUGCUUUUUCGACUUUUAUGACCUAUAAACGUUGUUAUAAUGAUUGAUAGUCAUGUUUAACCAUACACAAAAAAGCGAUGUCGAUUUUCGGGAAACUCUUCCUCUCAUCUGG